rnacentral:rRNA from 1 species
AGAACGAACGCUGGCGGCACGCCUAACACAUGCAAGUCGAGCGCCCAGCAAUGGGAGCGGCGGACGGGUGAGUAACACGUGGGAACAUGCCUUUCGGUACGGAACAACUGCGGGAAACUGCAGCUAAUGCCGUAUACGCCCUUACGGGGAAAGAUUUAUCGCCGAAAGAUUGGCCCGCGUCUGAUUAGCUAGUUGGUGAGGUAACGGCUCACCAAGGCUUCGAUCAGUAGCUGGUUUGAGAGAACGACCAGCCACAUUGGGACUGAGACACGGCCCAAACUCCUACGGGAGGCAGCAGUGGGGAAUCUUGGACAAUGGGGGAACCCUGAUCCAGCGAUGCCGCGUGAGUGAUGAAGGCCUUCGGGUUGUAAAACUCUUUCGACGGGGACGAUAAUGACGGUACCCGUAGAAGAAGCUCCGGCUAACUUCGUGCCAGCAGCCGC